rnacentral:rRNA from 1 species
CGUAGGGUGCGAGCGUUGUCCGGAAUUAUUGGGCGUAAAGAGCUCGUAGGCGGUUUGUCGCGUCGGCCGUGAAAACUUGGGGCUUAACUCCAAAGCUUGCGGUCGAUACGGGCAGACUUGAGUUCGGCAGGGGAGACUGGAAUUCCUGGUGUAGCGGUGAAAUGCGCAGAUAUCAGGAGGAACACCGGUGGCGAAGGCGGGUCUCUGGGCCGAUACUGACGCUGAGGAGACGAAAGCGGUGGGGAGCGAACAGGAUUAGAUACCCUGGUAGUCCACGACCGUAAACGGUGGGUGCUAGGUGUGGGGGGCUUCCACGCCCUCUGUGCCGCAGCUAACGCAUUAAGCACCCCGCCUGGGGAGUACGGCCGCAAGGCUA